rnacentral:lncRNA from 1 species
CGGCAGAAAUGCAAUUCCACCUCCUCCCGCCCGCCCCCCGCCCCUCUCCCGCCCCCCGCCCCGCUCCGUUCCGCGCCGCUCCGCGGACCCCCCCGGCCCCGCCAUCGCUCCUUCCCCGCGGGGCCGCAGACCGGAGCCCCCCCCCCCACACACACUCCGGCUGCAGCUUUUUACCCCUCGGGGCUGCAGCUUUUGCCCCUUCGUGCAUCUUCUACCCCCCCCCCCCCCCAACCGGGCUGUGCUGGGGGGGGGUUGCACACCCUCUGCCCCACAAGAGCUGCCUCCCGCAGCCCUCCCCAUUGCCUCCCCCACCCCAUUGCCACUUUUCCCCUCUCCCCCCCCCCCCCCAACUCGUUCAGCCCUCACUCCCCCCUCCCCCGCAGACGGGAUCCCCCGCCCCCAGGCGUGCUGCUGGCCGGCUCCCGCCCCCCGGCAGGAUCCCGCCGGAUCCCGCCCCCCCAUAGCGGGAUCCCCGCCGGAUCCCGUCCCCCUCCCUCCCCCCCCCUCACCGUAACGGGAUUCCCGGCGCUGGGCCGCAUCCUGAACCCGGCCCCUCCAGAGCUGGGGCUGUUUGCGGAGGGCAAAACUUACCCUAACAUAACGCCUAGAAAACUAAACUCAGUGCGGGCACUGCGAACAAGCUCCGAGCUGAUUCUGCUCGUUUGGGUGCCGUUUUAUUUUUAUCCUCACGCGUUUCUUUUGGGGCAUGUUUUUUUUCCCCCCUCUUUCAUUUCAGCACUCAUCCAGGUUUAUUUGAACAGUCAGCUAAAUCUGAUGGAAAAAAAAAAAGAAGAAGACGAAGAAGAAGGGGGGAAAAAAAAAGAAGCCAAAACACACCCGAACGUGCUGAGCUCUUACAGUGUCUGUGUGCUGUUCACAGAUAGGGAUCGCUGGGCUCUUCCUGCCCCGGCCCGGCCCGACCCGCAGAGCCGAACUUCCCUGAGGUUACAACUUUGUCACCUUUGGGAAAGUAUGAAAAUUAACACAAAAAUCGCUCAGAGGGGACUGAGGGGGGGGGGGGGGGGGGGGGAUAAGGAAGAAAAAAGAGAGAGAAAAAAAAAAAAAGAAAAAGCCCAGACUCCACCUUUGCACUGA